rnacentral:ncRNA from 1 species
CGGCCUGAGGUCGGACGAGGCUACCCGCUGAAUUUAAGCAUAUUACUAAGCGGAGGAAAAGAAACUAACGAGGAUUCCCUCAGUAACGGCGAGUGAAGCGGGACGAGCCCAGCGCCGAAUCCGGCCGCUUAUGGAGCGGACGGAAUUGUGGCGUAUGGAAUUCGCUUCGAGCGCGGACCGGCUGCCCACGUCCUUCUGAUCGAGGCUUCAUCCCAUAGCGGGUGUCAGGCCCUUGGCGGCGGCUGGCCCGGGCUCUCGGUGUCUUCCCGGAGUCGGGUUGUUUGGGAAUGCAGCGCAAAGCGGGUGGUAAACUCCAUCUAAGGCUAAAUACGGUCACGAGACCGAUAGCGAACAAGUACCGUGAGGGAAAGUUGAAAAGCACUUUGGAGAGAGAGUUAAAAAGUACGUGAAACCGUCGAGAGGCAAACGGGAGGGCCUGUCGGGUCGUUCGGUCGCUUUCAGGCGGGCCGGAGACCGGGUCGCGGGAUCGGGGACCUUCGCGGGCCUCGACUCGCGUCGCCGGCCGACGGCUCGGCGCACUAGCGUCGGACGAGGGCCGCGACCGGCUGGGCGGCGGGCAAACGGCUCCGGGCAAGGUAACCCCGCUUCGGCGGGGUGCUACAGGCCCGGUGCGCGCAAGGGUCGCCGCCCGGUCGAGGAGAGAUGCGCGCCGCACCUGCCCCGUUCGCGGGGCCGGGGAAGCCGUUCGAGCAGCGUCGUGUCGCGGUCCGGGACUGUCCUCAGUCCCGGGUCGUCUCGGCGCGGUUCCGAGCGGUCGCUCCCUCGCGAGGUGCCGCGGGUCAGCGGCUGACGCCAGCCACCUUCCCGACCC